CUGCUAUCUGCUCUCCAUGGCACCAUCCCCUUGUCCGACGCCUGCACAUCGAUCUCAAAUAAAUUAUUUUCCUCAUAAUCUAUUAAUCCCUUUACCGACGUCUACCGUUAUAUUCAUAGCGCCUAUCUGAGGAGGCUUGCCGCCGUCACUCGCAGCGGAAAUGUUCGUUUUGGCUGAGUUUAUAAGACUGAAUGGAGUUUAUUCCGACGUCCAGAUCGCGUGCGGCUUGGAGCUGAAAGCGAACGCCAGAACCAACAUACUGGACAGCGACCUCUCCAGAAAGUAGCUUGAAGUUUUGCCCCUAUGACCAAAAAGGACACAGGCAAGCAAAAUCGCUCUAUAAUCACUGCACACUGUGCUGAAAAUGCUGUAUUAACCUGUAUGAAUGCAUGCACUAGGGAAUAACACACUACUCGCUGGAACUUCCCUGACGUUACUAAAGCAGCACUUGCUGCCCAAGGUAUUGUACAUGUAGUCAUUUCACAUGAUGCUGAAUAAGUUAAAAUACCAGACGAAACAUCCAAGUCAACACUGAGUAAAUUUGUAACCAUUAUAAUCGACUUAGCAUCCAGUGACUAACAGCAACAAAUUAGUAAGAGUGUAGCAACAGGCAGCAGUCAU